ACGGGUAUAGGUUAAUGGUAGACCAAUCGUUUUCCAAAUGAAUAGUGUGAGUUCAAAUCUCGUUACCCGUA